GACGAACGCUGGCGGCGUGCUUAAUACAUGCAAGUCGAACGGAAAGGCCCUGCUUUUGUGGGGUGCUCGAGUGGCGAACGGGUGAGUAACACGUGAGUAACCUGCCCUUGACUUUGGGAUAACUUCAGGAAACUGGGGCUAAUACCGGAUAGGAGCUCCUGCUGCAUGGUGGGGGUUGGAAAGUUUCGGCGGUUGGGGCUGGACUCGCGGCUUAUCAGCUUGUUGGUGGGGUAGUGGCUUACCAAGGCUUUGACGGGUAGCCGGCCUGAGAGGGUGACCGGCCACAUUGGGACUGAGAUACGGCCCAGACUCCUACGGGAGGCAGCAGUGGGGAAUAUUGCACAGUGGGCGGAAGCCUGAUGCAGCAACGCCGCGUGCGGGAUGACGGCCUUCGGGUUGUAAACCGCUUUCGCCUGUGACGAAGCGUGAGUGACGGUAAUGGGUAAAGAAGCACCGGCUAACUACGUG
rnacentral:rRNA from 1 species